AUGAUUAGGGCAAAGCUGUCGAAAGGCGGUGACGCAAAGCUACAGGGUCUUACCGUUUCGGUUGACAGCCAGCUGCAG
rnacentral:ncRNA from 1 species